UUUCGGGCGAUUUCUGCAGUGAUGUCUCUGUUUCCGCUGAGGGAGUCUUAGGAUUCUCGAGUAUGUCUGAAGCGGCAGAUUUUAAAUCCUCUGUUGUUUGGUGUGACGAGGCACCAUCGUCUUCAAGUGAGAGGUAAGUUCCGGGGGAGAAGAGGGAGAUGAAGGAGAAGCGAGAGUCGCAGGUGCAGAAGAAUCAUUGUGUGGCAGAGAAAUCGUCCUUCCAAAGAGCUUUAUGGCAGAGCCUUUAACCUCUGACAUUCCUGAGAUAUAAAAAUGGUGAUGAGGGUGGUCAGGGUCAGGAAUAUCUCUCUCUUGUUGUUGUUGUGGCUUGCUUGCUCCUUCUCUAUCUAGAAAAAUGGGGAAAGUAACGAUGAAAAAUAUAUAUACAUAAGUAUAUGUAGAUAGAUAUAUAGAAGUUGUUGUCGUUGGUGCAUUCAGUAACUCUCUUUUUUGGUGUCUUUUGCACUGUAAAUUGAUAUGAAAACGGAUAAUGAAUAGUGACAGAGGCAGGGGAUGGGUGAAGUGGUGAAGUUUGUUUGUUUGUGUUGUGUUGUGUUGGGUGUGGUUUUAUUUGUGGGAGAGAGGAGAAAAAACAUGUUCCACCUCAGCAUAAGGUGAGAAUUUUGUGAGCCACAAGUUCUUGUGGCCUAUGAGAUCUUUGUGUGCUGUUGGAUUCCCCCACAUUGCUUCUAAAGAUAGUGCUGUUCUGUCCCACCCUUUUUCAUCCCUGUCAGCACUUUCAUUUUUUGCCUUUUUCGUCAACCACUCUAGUAACACUUUCUUCCUUCUUA